AUGGAUGCGCUGCCGCCACCGUCGUGGCCGGCGCACGCCCCCAAGAAGCGCAUGUUCGAGCGGGCGGGCGACCAAGAAUCACCACCGGGGAGCGGCAGCAUCGGCCUCGAUCUCAUCGGCGCCCUCCCCGACGCCGUCCUCUGCACCAUCAUCUCGCUGCUCCCCACCAAGAACGGCGCCCGCACGCAGGCCGUCGCCCGCCGGUGGCGACCCCUGUGGCGCUCGGCGCCCCUCAACCUCGUCGCCGACCGUGACCUCUCCGGCAAUAAGCGUAAACGCGUCGCCUACGCCCUUACCGACCUCCAGGAGCUCCACCUCGACUAUGACGGCGAAGAGUACAUGAUAUUCCCGCUGCCGUUGUCCGCGCUCCGCUUUGCGCCGACGCUCGGCGUCACCAGCUUCAGCUGCUGCAGUUUCCCCGACUUAUCCACGCAGUUUUUGAAUUUUCCGCACCUCAAGCAGCUCAGCAUGUACAUGGUCACCAUCUCGGACUUGCCUGCGCCGUCUCUGCAUUUUCCGCUGCUCAAGCAGCUCACCAUGCGUGGAGUCACCAUCUCGGGGGAGGCUCUCCACAGCAUGCUCUCUCGCUGCCUUUCAUUGGAAAGCCUUUUACUGGAUUUUAACAUUGGCAUUGCUCGCAUAUGCAUCAGCUCUCCCACUCUCAGGAGCAUCAGCUUCCUAGGGACUUUCUUUUUCAAAGAGCUGGUCAUCGAGGACACCCCUUGCCUUGAGAGGCUGCUGCCACCCACGCCAGACCAUUGUAUGGGGACUGUCCGGGUAAUCCGAGCACCUAAGCUGCAGGUAUUUGGUUUGGUGUCAAAGGGCAUAUCCAAACUCCACAUUGGAACCACGGUUUUUCAGGAAAUGAUUGCCAUCAGCGUGACAACCGCAAUGCGCACCGUGAAGGUUUUGGUUAUCGAAUCUGUUGGCCCUAAUUUUGAUGCGGUAAUUGGCUUCCUCAAGUGCUUCCCUUGCUUGGAGAGGCUGUAUGUCAUUUCGCGCCAAUGCAAUGAGAUGAAAAAUGUGCUAAAAUAUGACCCACUGGAUCCAAUUGAAUGCCUCGAACUCCAUCUCAAAAGAGUGGCGCUGGAGAACUACUUUGGCAACAUGGCAGAUGUUGACUUCGCCAAAUUUUUCGUUUUGAAUGCGAAAGUGCUAGAACAAAUGAACUUCGCAGUACCUACUUGCCACCGCAACGACAAAUGGAGGUCUGACCAACACAAGCUGUUACAAGUGGACAACAGAGCUUCUUCGGAUGCUCGAUUUGAAUUCACAAGUGGUUAUGGGUAUAAUGGCAUCGAUGACAAGCAUACCCAUGAUUUAUCAAUGGCCGAUCCCUUUGAGAGAACUGUGCUUUGA
rnacentral:rRNA from 1 species